UCAAACUCCGCUUGAUUGUAAUCCAGUGAUUAGCUGCUUCAUGCGCUUGAUUUUACCAAUAUGGUUUGAAAUUGAUUUUCUGAACCAGGCCUUACUUAGUGGAUAAUCACCAAAUGGAUCAUAUCUAAUUCCAAUCGAUAUUCCAUAUGGUGAAAUCUGGUCCAAUACCAUUUUUAAAAAAAUAUUAUAUUGCCUUUGAAGACACAAAAGAUAUUUGUCCAAAUUUUAUU